rnacentral:rRNA from 2 species
UACAGAGGGUGCAAGCGUUGUUCGGAAUUACUGGGCGUAAAGCGCGUGUAGGCGGUGCCAUAAGUCCUGUGUGAAAGCCCUGGGCUCAACCCAGGAAGUGCGCAGGAUACUGUGGGACUGGAGUACUGGAGAGGAUGGCGGAAUUCCCGGUGUAGAGGUGAAAUUCGUAGAUAUCGGGAGGAACACCUGUGGCGAAGGCGGCCAUCUGGACAGUCACUGACGCUGAGACGCGAAAGCGUGGGGAGCAAACAGG